GAUGAACGCUAGCGGCAGGCCUAAUACAUGCAAGACGAACGGUAAGUUGAGUAGCAAUACUUAGCCAAGAGUGUCGUACGGGUGCGUAACACGUAUGCAACCUACCCUAUACAGGAGGAUAGCCUAGGGAAACCUGGAUUAACCCUUCAUAGUAUUAUUGGAUGGCAUCAUUUGAUAAUUAAAACUGAGGUGGUAUAGGAUGGGCAUGCGUCUGAUUAGUUAGUUGGCGGGGUAAUGGCCCACCAAGACGAUGAUCAGUAGGGGUUCUGAGAGGAAGAUCCCCCACACUGGCACUGAGAUACGGGCCAGACUCCUACGGGAGGCAGCAGUAGGGAAUAUUGGUCAAUGGAUGCAAGUCUGAACCAGCCAUGCCGCGUGCAGGAAGAAGGCCUUCUGGGUUGUAAACUGCUUUUAUCUGGGGAUAAAAAGGCCUUGCGAGGCAAACUGAAGGUACCAGAUGAAUAAGCCAACGGCUAACUACGUGCCAGCAGCCGCGGUAA
rnacentral:rRNA from 1 species